rnacentral:lncRNA from 1 species
ACCCCUCCACAAGGCCCAUCGAAUAACAGGCCCUAAUCCAGCAAGUCGGAUCGGUUUGGUUGGCUCGGCGGCCAAACGUAUCGGCUCGACCUUAGAGUACUUUUAGCCGUUCGAGUAAGCCGACCAAAAGUACCCGGCUUGGAGGGAACCUUGUCCAGGCCCGCAUACUCGGCCUCUCGCAUCAAGGCCCAAAGAGGUACGAAAUUAGGGCAUCAAGGCCCAAAGAAGUACGAAAUUAGGGCAUCAAGGGCAGGAGUCCUAUAAAAGGGGAAGGGGAAGCAACAAGAGGAUGACUUUUGGACCAUUGAACAGACCGAGUGGCUAGAUCUAGGGUUUGAGGCGAUCUCUUUGAUCUUGUUGCUCUUUGAUCUUGUUGCUCUUUCACUUUCCUGUCACUCUUGUAACCCUUCAGUUCAAAUCUAAUAAAACAUCUUUAGUCAUCCCAUCUCUGACUUCUUUCAUUUUAGUCGACUGAAUCCCGUUCAAACACAUGUGGAGAGCAGUCCUAACGUCAAACCUUUCCACACUUCUUCCGAUACCUUGCAUUGGAAGAAAAGAUGGUCUCUGGUUUCCAAAUAACAUCACAUAGUCCACAAAAAGCUUUGCAACUGUGAGUUCCAUCCUUUGGUAAUAUUAUACCGUUUGAUGUUUUCUACGGGAUAUAUGCUGC